rnacentral:misc_RNA from 1 species
UAUGGAAUUCCGACUAAGGGC